ensembl:lncRNA
AUGACUGGCAGAUCGUGGACCCCCGAGGCGGAGGAGACUCUGAUCGAGCUCUGGCAGGAGUCCGCAUGUCUGUACGACAUCUCCUCCGCAGACUACCACAACCGAGAGGAGAAGGACAAGCGCUGGAGGGAGGUCGCCGACGCGCUGCAGAUGCCCAUGGAGGCGGUGGCGACCAGGGUGGCGUCUCUGAGGACUCAGUACGCCAGACUGAGGAAACCUAAAGCCAGCGGGGGCGAGAAGAAGCCCCUCACGAUGAGGCAGCGCUGGCUCCUGAGGGCCCUUGAGUUCCUGAAGCCACACAUCGUUCAUCGGCGACACGAGACCACUCUGGGUUUGCCGUCCUCAGAUAAAGCGGAGGAGACUCUGGACGAGUCGGAUGAAAUGUCGCAGGAGACGGAUAAAGAGGUGGACAGCUUCGACUCCAUCAGCGUGUGUCUCUCCCCGAUGCCCGGCACUCCAGACACCGGCAUCCCCGAGGAAACCGCCUCGUACUCUCUGUCCCCCCGGAGCACAUCCGGCAAGCGCGCACGCUCCUCCGAAUCCGACAUCGAGCUGCAGAAGCUGGAGGUGUUGAAGCAGAUGUCCGCUAAAGUCCUGGAGCACCCGUCUCCGGACGCCGCCGCCGUCUUCUCCAGCCAGGUGGCCAUGGAGUACCGUCUGCUGAGAGACCCCAGCGUCCAGAUGCGCGUGCGCCGCCAGAUCAUGGCUCUCCUCUACGAAGCACAGGAUUCAGAGAGACUUUCCCGACACUCCAAGAGACACGAACAGAGACAGCUCAAAACAGAGGAUCAGCACUAAUAUACAAGUUGGAAUGUGGUUUUGUUGCAGACGGUGUUCAUCUUGUUAAUACUCGGAUUGUUUUCUAUGUUGUACUGAACUAUUUUUCUUAGUGGAAGCUUUGAUAUAAUCUACAUGUAAGAUAAUAAAACAGUUCCAGCUUCAUGUCCGUGUAUUAUU